CCUACGGGUGGCAGCAGUCGAGAAUCAUUCACAAUGGGGGAAACCCUGAUGGUGCGACGCCGCGUGGGGGAAUGAAGGUCUUCGGAUUGUAAACCCCUGUCAUGUGGGAGCAAAUUAAAAAGAUAGUACCACAAGAGGAAGAGACGGCUAACUCUGUGCCAGCAGCCGCGUUAAUACAGAGGGCUCAAGCGUUGUUCGGGAUCAAUGGGCGUAAAGCGUGUGUAGGCUGUUUUGUAAGUCGUGUGUGAAAGGCGCGGGCUUAACCCGCGGAAGGCACAUGAUACUGCAAGACUAGAGUAAUGACGAGGGAACCGGAAUAAGCGGAGUAGCAGUGAAAUGCGUAGAUAUAGAGUGGAACACUCGUGGCGAAGGCGGGUUACUGGACAGUGACUGACGCUGAGGCACGAAGGCCAGGGGAGCGAAAGGGAUUAGAUACCCUUGUAGUC
rnacentral:rRNA from 1 species